rnacentral:rRNA from 1 species
UAGGGAAUCUUCGGCAAUGGGGGGAACCCUGACCGAGCAACGCCGCGUGAGUGAAGAAGGUUUUCGGAUCGUAAAGCUCUGUUGUUAAGGAAGAACGAGUGUGAGAAUGGAAAGUUCAUACUGUGACGGUACUUAACCAGAAAGGGACGGCUAACUACGUGCCAGCAGCCGCGGUAAUACGUAGGUCCCGAGCGUUGUCCGGAUUUAUUGGGCGUAAAGCGAGCGCAGGCGGUUAGAAAAGUCUGAAGUUAAAGGCAGUGGCUCAACCAUUGUAGGCUUUGGAAACUGUUUAACUUGAGUGCAGAAGGGGAGAGUGGAAUUCCAUGGGUAGCGGUGAAAUGCGUAGAUAUAUGGAGGAACACCGGUGGCGAAAGCGGCUCUCUGGUCUGUAACUGACGCUGAGGCUCGAAAGCGUGGGGAGCGAACAGG